UAGGGAAUCUUCCGCAAUGGGCGAAAGCCUGACGGAGCAACGCCGCGUGAGUGAUGAAGGUCUUCGGAUCGUAAAACUCUGUUAUUAGGGAAGAACAAAUGUGUAAGUAACUAUGCACAUCUUGACGGUACCUAACCAGAAAGCCACGGCUAACUACGUGCCAGCAGCCGCGGUAAUACGUAGGUGGCAAGCGUUAUCCGGAAUUAUUGGGCGUAAAGCGCGCGUAGGCGGUUUUUUAAGUCUGAUGUGAAAGCCCACGGCUCAACCGUGGAGGGUCAUUGGAAACUGGAAAACUUGAGCGCAGAAGAGGAAAGUGGAAUUCCGUGUGUAGCGGUGAAAUGCGCAGAGAUAUGGAGGAACACCAGUGGCGAAGGCGACUUUCUGGUCUGUAACUGACGCUGAUGUGCGAAAGCGUGGGGAUCAAACAGG
rnacentral:rRNA from 1 species